AGCGAACGCUGGCGGCAGGCCUAACACAUGCAAGUCGAACGAACUCUUCGGAGUUAGUGGCGGACGGGUGAGUAACACGUGGGAACGUGCCUUUUGGUUCGGAAUAACUCAGGGAAACUUGUGCUAAUACCGAAUGUGCCCUUCGGGGGAAAGAUUUAUCGCCAUUAGAGCGGCCCGCGUCUGAUUAGCUAGUUGGUGAGGUAACGGCUCACCAAGGCGACGAUCAGUAGCUGGUCUGAGAGGAUGACCAGCCACACUGGGACUGAGACACGGCCCAGACUCCUACGGGAGGCAGCAGUGGGGAAUCUUGCGAAAUGGGCGAAAGCCUGACGCAGCCAUGCCGCGUGAAUGAUGAAGGUCUUAGGAUUGUAAAAUUCUUUCACCGGGGACGAUAAUGACGGUACCCGGAGAAGAAGCCCCGGCUAACUUCGUG
rnacentral:rRNA from 1 species